GAUUUUAGAAAGAGCCGAACACGAUCGAGGAGGGGAGGCACGCCUGCCAUCGAUCCAUCCAUCCCAGCCUGGCCGCCGGGCGAGCGACGCCGCUGGCUAGCUCGAUUCGAUCUGGCGCGGCGCGGCGACAGCUAGCAGCUAGCUCGUUACCUAGCGCGGCCGCGUCCGCAGCGCCGGGCGCCAUCAACCCGUCGCUCGAUCGUGCCCUUGUUAUGCGCUAGAUCGAUGCAACCAACCACCUCAGCCUGACAACCACCCCUCUCGCGCGCGGCGGGAUUGGAGUAGGAAAAUCCUAGCCAGCCAGCCAGCCAGCCAGCCAGCCGCGGAAUGUUCCGGCGCUGCACGUUCUCCGCUCGUCGCUGCCAUACCGCGGGCCCAACACGUGCGUGCCCGGCUACCUCCCCCAACCCCUCGGCCUAUAUAUCCGGCUUCCCAACACCCGUCUCUCCCCACCUCUCCCAUCUCCCCCAUCGAUCUCGCAAAAGAACGCCAGCGUCCGUGCCGCGUGCGGUGGCCGCGGCGGCGGUGUGCGUUGAAGGGGCGCGGCGCGGCUGCUUAGCUCGGCAAGGACCGGUACGGGCGCUGGGCGGUGACAGAAGAGAGUGAGCACACGGCCGGUCGUUACGGCACCGCCCGGGUGUGCCGUCGCGGCCGCGUGCUCACUGCUCUUCCUGUCAUCCACUCUCCCGCUUCCCUUCCGGCCUUCGCCGUGGCUGGCUGCACGCGCUAGCACACCGCCGCCGCGUCCACAGCAGAGGCCGGCUGGCCGGCCGGCCGGCCGUCGUUUUUGCGUCAUCGUAUGCCGUACAGACUAACCCGCAAUUUUGUGUUCAUGCCGCUCUCUGCAAGUUUCCAUUUCUGGGAGGCUAGAGCGUACGGCGCCGCGCGCGUGGGUACGCUUUCGCGCACGGAUUCCCUCCCUUUUCUCUCGGUACGAUACGAAGAUGCUCCCUUUUGCUUUGAUAAAUUCUCUCAUCUUUUCCAAGGGAUUUUACCGUUAACCGCUGCUCCUCGCUCCGGCCUUGGGAAGGGAAAAAGGCAUUUACUGCGGCGCCGCUGAUUGAUUCAGCUAUAGCUGGUUCCAAGAAUCUGGAUCUUGGAGCAACCAAGAUCAACCUACUGAGUAGGCCGGAGAUGGACGAUCUAGAGGCAAAUGUGCGCAUGGAUCGAUAGCUCAGAUCUGCUUACCACUUGACUCUUUUCUUGCCAGGUUUAACCCUGGUCUGCGUUAUUCUAGUGUGACUAGGAGACACGGUAAGGGGUGUGUGUUUAUUGUGCCGGCCAGCCCGGCCUGUGUAGUGGCGUUCUGUUUAUACGUCUUUUUUUCUCUAAAGAAUAUCUGAUAUACUAGCACUCAUGCACACAGGACAACAUGCAAAUUAAGAGCUUCUUUGAUUUGUAAGAUUCUAAAAGCAUGGGAAUAGAAAAAACAUAUGAUUGAAUUGAAAUGGUCAUCUCAAUUCUACAAUAUUUUAGGCUUUUUGAUUGCAUUAUAUAGAACAGACAAAUGAUUCGUUCAAAAAGGUUUGAGCGGAUGCUAGAAAUCCUUUGGGAAGUAAACAUAAAUCCAUCCAAAAAGUUCUAUAGAAUUCAAUCCUAUGAAUCAAACAACCAACAUAGAAAAAUAUUCCAAAAGAACUCUAGUCCUUCAAAAUUUCUAUGAAAAUUCUUUGAAUCAACCGAGCCUAAUUGGUAAUCCCUGUAUAGGGACCACCAGUACGUAUAGUAGAGCUUGGGUAGUGGAGGAGUUAUGGACCUCUUAGAGUGAAUAAUCUCAUAGGUUAGUAUCAUAUAUACGACAUUAAUGUAUGUUAUAGUAGUUUAUGAUACUUACUCUUAAUUAUAUAUUACCUUCGUCCAGAAAAAGCUUGUCUUACAUUUAUUAAGAUAUGGAAGUAUCAAAUAAUAAAAUGUCGAAAACACUAACGCCCACACGUGUGGGCAUCUGGCAACUCGCCCACAUGCAUGGAUCCUCAUCCAACUAAUUCUACAUGAAUCUUGGUGCGUUCUAGCAGUUUUUGUGUGCCAUGUAGGGCUAAGCUAGUGUGUGGGCAUUCAUCCGGUCGCUCACACGUUCUUUUUCACCACACGGGGGGUUGGUGUGUGGGCGUUUAGCAAUUCGCUCACACACCAGUUUUCACGCACGUAGAGGGGCUGGUGUGUGGAUGUUUAGCAAUUCGUCCACACGCCUGUCUCCUCGCCUACACCCAAAGUUGGCAGUUGCCAUGUGUUUCUGUAGGGUACAUGGCAACUGCCCUAGCGUGCACGUAAGCAGAUGGCAACUUUUUCUCUUUACAAGGCAACUGCCCUAGCGUGCUUGUGAGCACAUGGCAACUCUCUCUUUUACCCGAACAUGUUUUUUGCCAUGCCUUUUUGUAGUGCUACAUGGUAACUGCCUAGUAUUAGUGGGUGGACACUUCUAAAGUUUUGAAAUCAUGGCAACUGCAGUAGACCAGACCAUAUAUAACAACUGUAGUUGUCCGACAUGGCAACGAAGUUCAGCAACAUGGCAACUGCAGUUAAACGAACAUUGACGAGGGUCUGGACCAUGGCAACUGCGGGGUGCGCGGUGACUGUCACGCGGGGCGUGCGGGACCACGAGGUAUGAGGCCUGACGUAUGGGGCGUGUGGGAGUUAUCUAUUUCGUCCACACGCACGCGUGUGAGAGGGACUGAGAGGGAAAAAAGGUGUGUGUGCAUUACUUGUUUUGCCCACACGUAGGUGUGUGCGCUGUUUCUCUUAUACACCACACAAAAUAUGUAGGCAGACACUCUAACGCCCACAUGUGUGGCACUUAUCAGCGUCCUAAAAUGUUUCUAGACACAUCCGUAUCUAGACAAAUUUAAAAAAAAACUAUUUUGGGACGGAGGGAGUAGUAUUAUAUUGGUUGUAUUUUAGGGCAUGCAUGGCUAAUAAUAAACCGGCCACUGGCUUUAUCUCAUUGCAUUGCAUAUCAUUUGUAGUCAAUCUAAUUUCACUGAUAUCUAUAUCUAUAACACUAUAUAGUGUAUGAAUAACUUUGAAUGUCAGCUGGAUGAAACUAGUUCAACUGUAGAGAUGUGUCAAAUUAGAGCGUUGUUGGUCAUUCGAUAACCUCUUCACUCUACCUGACUGCCACAUGUACUAUCUACAAGAUUCCGUGGUUGAUGAACAAACUUAUAGAAAAAACAAGCACUUCUUUGUUUUGGAAUGUUCUAUAUUUUAAUUCUUCAAUUUUUCCUUCUAAACAAAUUACAAUGUACAAACUUCAAAUCAUAAACACUUCUCUUUGUUCUAGACCCUUCUAUGCAUUUUCUUUUUAAAAAAUUGCCAUUAAAUUUUAGUUUAUGAUUUUUUUAUGUCAUGCCUAUAACAGCGGUAUAUAUAUAUUUCCUACAAGCAGUGGUAGUUACCACCACUUGCGUUUUGUAUGUUGUAUGUAGUAUCUGACGAA